ACGGUGGAGUAACACGUAUCCAACCUGCCGUCUACUCUUGGCCAGCCUUCUGAAAGGAAGAUUAAUCCAGGAUGGCAUCAUGAGUUCACAUGUCCGCAUGAUUAAAGGUAUUUUCCGGUAGACGAUGGGGAUGCGUUCCAUUAGAUAGUAGGCGGGGUAACGGCCCACCUAGUCUUCGAUGGAUAGGGGUUCUGAGAGGAAGGUCCCCCACAUUGGAACUGAGACACGGUCCAA
rnacentral:rRNA from 1 species